CUGUAUUCAGUUUUCAACUAUCGUAAAAGGAAUCGAUGACAAUAAUUUGAGAUUGUAUUCUUGAAGAUUGAGUUUGAAAUGUGACAGAAUCGAUCUCUUAGAAUGCAUCGUUCUCUUUCUUCUUUUCUUUACGUUCUAUAGAGUUCAUUUUUCUGGAUCUCUUGCAUUUCUUGAUCAAUAACUUCAAGUUUGGCUCUCCGUAAUUGGAAUCACUUUUGCUCUGUUUCAAUUUCAGGUUCUAUCACUUUCCUUCUCUCUAUGAUUCUAGGGAAGAAUUUGUGUUCACAUUGCCGAUCUUAGGUUUUCUAACUUUAGUUUGCUUCAUUAGUCUUCAUUUUACUUCUUGUUUUGAUGUUUUGCUUUAAUUUCUUCCGGAAAAUGUUUUUACUGGUUUCCAUCGCAUAGUCAAUGUAGGAUCUUCUUUGUUAUUGAUGACGAUAGUUCAAGGAUUUAUUCUUCAAGAUUGAUUAUGAAAUGUCACAGAAUCGAUCUCUCUGUACUUAUCGUUCUUUUUCCUCUUUUCUUUACAUUCUAUCAAAUUCUUUUUGUUCGAUCUUGUUUUCUCACUUUUUUUUUCAUCUAGUUUUAGAUUUGUCUUUUCUGUAUUGGAAUUACUUUUGCAUUCCGUUCUGAAUUCAGUUUUCAACUAUCAUAAGAGGAAUCGAUGACAAUAAUUCGAGGUUGUAUUCUUGAAGAUUGAGUUUGAAAUGUGAUAGAAUCGAUCUCUUAGAAUGCAUCGUUCUCUUUCUUCUUUUUCUUUACAUUCUAUAGAAUUCAUUUUGCUGGAUCUCUUGCAUUUCUAGAUCAUUAACUUCAAGUUUGGCUUUCCGUAAUUUGAAUUACUUUUGCUUUGUUUCAAUUUCAGGUUCUAUCACUUUCCUUCUCUCUAUGAUUCUUCAUUUAGGAAAGAAUUUGUGUUCACAUUUCCGGUCUUAGGUUUUCUACCUUUAGUUUGCUUCAUUAGUCUUGAUUUUACUGCUUGUUUUGGUGUUUUGCUUUAAUUUCUUCCGUAAAAUGUUUUUACUGGUUUCCAUUGCAUAGUCAAUGUCGGAUCUUCUUUAUUAUCAACGAUGAUAGUUCAAGGAUUUAUUCUUCAAGAUUGAGUAUGAAAUGUCACAGAAUCGAUCUCUCUGUACUUAUUGUUAUUUUUCCUCUUUCUUUACAUUCAAUCAAAUUCUUUUUUCUCGAUCUUGUUUUCUCACUUUUAUUUCAUCUGGUUUUAGAUUUGUAUUUUCUGUUUUGGAAUUAAUUUUGCGCUCCAUUCUCAAUUCGGUUUUCAACUAUCAUAAAAAGAAUUGAUGACGAUAAUUUGAGGUUUUAUUCUUGAAGAUUGAGUUUGAAAUGUGUCAGAAUCGAUCUCUUAGAAUGUAUCGUUCUCUUUCUUCUUUUCUUUAUGUUCUAUAGAAUUCAUUUUGCUGGAUCUCUCGCAUUUCUUGAUCAAUAACUUCAAGUUUGGCUUUCCGUUAUUGGAAUUACUUUGGCUCUGUUCAAUUUCAGGUUCUAUCACUUUCCUUCACUCUAGGAUUCUUCAUUUAGGAAAGAAUUUUUGUGUUUACAUUGCCGGUCUAAGGUUUUCUACCUUUAGUUUGCAUCAUUAGUCUUGAUUUUACUGCUUGUUUUGAUGUUUUGCUUUAAUUUCUGCCGGAAAAUGUUUUUACUGGUUUCCAUCGCAUAGUCAAUGUCGGAUCUUCUUUGUUAUCGACGACGAUAGUUCAAGGAUUUAUUCUUCUAGAUUGAGUAUGAAAUAUCACAUAAUCCAUCUCUCUGUACUUAUCGUUCUUUUUCUUUACAUUCUAUUAAAUUCUUUUUGCUUGAUCUUGUUUUCUCACUUUUUUUUCAUUUGGUUUUAGAUUUGUCUUUUCUGUAUUGGAAUUACUUUUGCGCUCUGUUUUCAAUUUGGUUUUCAACUAUCAUAAAAGGAAUCGAUGACAAUAAUUUGAGGUUGUAUUCUUGAAGAUUUGAGUUUGAAAUGUGACAGAAUCAAUCUCUUAGAAUGCAUUGUUCUCUUUUUUUUCUUUACGUUCUAUAGAAUUCAUUUUGCUUGAUCUCUUGCAUUUCUUGAUAAUAACUUCACGCUUGGCUUUGUCGUAAUUGGAAUUACUUUUGCUCUGUUUCUAAAUGCAAGCAAUUAUGCAAGCAAUUGGAAUUACUUUUGCUCUGUUUCUAAAUUGAGUAUUUAACUAUCAUGAAAGGAAUGUAUGAUAAUGAUUUGAGGUUUUAUUUUUGAAGAUUGACGGCAAAAUAUCACAGAAUCGAUCUCUCAGUUGGAUUGCAUGAAUGUGAUCUUCACCCAAGGAUCCAAGACAUUUCAAAAUUCUAGGAUCGUAAUUUUAUAGCCCAAAAGUCUUAAAAGGUAACGGAAGGCUGCUGUGCUGCAGGAAUCUUGCAAUUAAUUUGGAUGGUGAAUUACAAACGUGGCAACUUUAUUAGUUGGAGCUACCGAACUUAAUUUCUUCAAACCAAAGUUAAGAGGAAAGACAAAAGAAAGAAAAUUGGACAUUGGACAAUGGAGCGAUAUACCUGUCAUACUCUUUCUUUUUUUUUUUCUUUUUUACUACACGGACCUAUCCUAUUCAUUGAGAAUUUACAAAUUGCAUUCUACUAACAAAAAAGAGAAUAGAAGAACCAAAAUGUUCAUUAA